rnacentral:rRNA from 1 species
UACGUAGGGUGCAAGCGUUGUCCGGAAGUAUUGGGCGUAAAGAGCUCGUAGGCGGUUUGUCGCGUCUGCUGUGAAAACUCGGGGCUUAACCCCGGGCCUGCAGUGGGUACGGGCAGACUAGAGUGCGGUAGGGGAGACUGGAAUUCCUGGUGUAGCGGUGAAAUGCGCAGAUAUCAGGAGGAACACCGGUGGCGAAGGCGGGUCUCUGGGCCGUAACUGACGCUGAGGAGCGAAAGCGUGGGGAGCGAACAGG